UACGUAGGGACCAAGCGUUGUUCGGAUUUACUGGGCGUAAAGGGCGCGUAGGCGGCAUGACAAGUCACUUGUGAAAUCUCCGGGCUUAACUCGGAACGGUCAAGUGAUACUGUCGCGCUAGAGUGCGGAAGGGGCAAUCAGAAUUCUUGGUGCAGCGGUGAAAUGCGUAGAUAUCAAGAGGAAUACCUGAGGUGAAGACGGGUUGCUAGGCCGACACUGACGCUGAUGCGCGAAAGCCAGGGGAGCGAACGGG
rnacentral:rRNA from 1 species